AUUGAACGCUGGCGGCAGGCCUAACACAUGCAAGUCGAACGGUAACAGGAAGAAGCUUGCUUCUUUGCUGACGAGUGGCGGACGGGUGAGUAAUGUCUGGGAAACUGCCUGAUGGAGGGGGAUAACUACUGGAAACGGUAGCUAAUACCGCAUAACGUCGCAAGACCAAAAAGGGGGACCUUCGGGCCUCUUGCCAUCGGAUGUGCCCAGAUGGGAUUAGCUAGUAGGUGGGGUAACGGCUCACCUAGGCGACGAUCCCUAGCUGGUCUGAGAGGAUGACCAGCCACACUGGAACUGAGACACGGUCCAGACUCCUACGGGAGGCAGCAGUGGGAAUAUUGCACAAUAGGCGCAAGCCUGAUGCAGCCAUGCCGCGUGUAUGAAGAAGGCCUUCGGGUUGUAAAGUACUUUCAGCGGGGAGGAAGGGAGUAAAGUUAAUACCUUUGCUCAUUGACGUUACCCGCAGAAGAAGCACCGGCUAACUCCGUG
rnacentral:rRNA from 1 species